GUAGUCUGCAACCCGACUACAUGAAGCUGGAAUCGCUAGUAAUCGCAGGUCAGCAUACUGCGGUGAAUACGUUCCCGGGCCUUGUACACACUGCCCGUCAAGCCAUGGGAGUCGGGAGUGCCUGAAGUUCGUGACCGUCACAGGAGCGACCUAAGGCAAGACCGAUGACUGGGGCUAAGUCGUAACAAGGUAGC
rnacentral:rRNA from 1 species